rnacentral:rRNA from 2 species
AGUCAUAUGCUUGUCUCAAAGAUUAAGCCAUGCAUGUCUAAGUACAAACUAUAUUAAAGUGAAACCGCGAAAGGCUCAUUAAAUCAGUUAUGGUUCCUUAGAUCGUACCCACAAUUACUUGGAUAACUGUGGUAAUUCUAGAGCUAAUACAUGCAAACAGAGCUCUGACCGGAGACGGAAGGAGUGCUUUUAUUAGAUCAAAACCAAUCGGCGUCGGUAACAUUUCGGUGUUAUCGUUCGUCGCUCAAAUAAAUGGUGAUUCUGAAUAACUUUAUGCUGAUCGCAUGGUCUUGUACCGGCGACACAUCUUUCAAAUGUCUGCCUUAUCAACUGUCGAUGGUAGGAUCUGCGCCUACCAUGGUUGUAACGGGUAACGGGGAAUCAGGGUUCGAUUCCGGAGAGGGAGCCUGAGAAACGGCUACCACAUCCAAGGAAGGCAGCAGGCGCGCAAAUUACCCACUCCCGGCACGGGGAGGUAGUGACGAAAAAUAACGAUACGGGACUCAUCCGAGGCCCCGUAAUCGGAAUGAGUACACUUUAAAUCCUUUAACAAGGACCAAUUGGAGGGCAAGUCUGGUGCCAGCAGCCGCGGUAAUUCCAGCUCCAAUAGCGUAU